GUGAGACAGGUUACUUUUACCCUACUGAUGAAUUGGUUGUCGCGACAGU
rnacentral:rRNA from 1 species